AGUGAACGCUGGCGGUAGGCCUAACACAUGCAAGUCGAACGGCAGCACAGUAAGAGCUUGCUCUUACGGGUGGCGAGUGGCGGACGGGUGAGGAAUACAUCGGAAUCUACUUUUUCGUGGGGGAUAACGUAGGGAAACUUACGCUAAUACCGCAUACGACCUACGGGUGAAAGCAGGGGAUCUUCGGACCUUGCGCGAUUGAAUGAGCCGAUGUCGGAUUAGCUAGUUGGCGGGGUAAAGGCCCACCAAGGCGACGAUCCGUAGCUGGUCUGAGAGGAUGAUCAGCCACACUGGAACUGAGACACGGUCCAGACUCCUACGGGAGGCAGCAGUGGGGAAUAUUGGACAAUGGGCGCAAGCCUGAUCCGGCCAUACCGCGUGGGUGAAGAAGGCCUUCGGGUUGUAAAGCCCUUUCGUUGGGAAAGAAAAGCAGCAGGUUAAUACCCCGCUGUUCUGACGGUACCCAAAGAAUAAGCACCGGCUAACUUCGUG
rnacentral:rRNA from 1 species